CUGAAGGGUCCCCUCCCCCACCCCCCUCUAUGUAAAGUUCUCAAUUCUCAGUAUCUCACAUCAGCAAUUACCAUCUGCUAGCCCAAAGAGGAGAUAAUUUUCUUCUAAGACUUUCUGGAUAUUCACUAAAGACAACAGAAGAUUCUCAGGUAUCUAUGCCCUUCAGUGACACCUAUCCACAGUGACUCUGGGCUUGGCCACCUAACUUAACUUCAGCAGAUGUGACAGAAAAAAACUCAAUAUAAGCAGAAGCUUAAAGAGUCCUUUCCAUUUACUCUCUCUCAUUUCUAUGUCUUCAGCAUGGGAAUGAGUCUGGACUUGCUUGUUGAGAGGUAAGAAGAUACAGGGAAGCAUAAACCAGAACAUGAAGGAAAACCCUAUCAAGUUCAGCAAAGCUGCCUAACCAACUCACACCUGACCUCAGAAAUGGCUUGGACACAAGUGCACACCCACCUCCGAAACAGCAAGACCUGCAGCUUCAUCCUUUCUGGCAGGUUGAUGCUCUGGGCCAGAUGGAGACCGUGGCUGUGGACCCCCAGCCCUUCCCAUCCAGCUCCAGAAGUCAAGGCUCUAAUUCACUCUGAAAGGGCUUCAGCACCACCCCUGUGAGGUCCUUAAAUGUUUUAUGAGCUCCCUGAAAUGCUCAGAUAAUUAAAACACUUUCUUAAUUUAAUAGCUUGGCUUAAUGAAACCAGGACUUUAUGUUUUAUUUGGAAAGGGGUGAACAUCCCAGUCACACUUAUUAAUAUUUUUAAGAGUAUGCCCAAUUGUGUCCAGGGAUUGAGGGAAAUCAUUGCUUCAAGGGGAAAAUGGGCUUUCCUGAGUCUGUGACAAGUCUUGGGCUUAUUAGAGCUCAUUACAUCCAGGAAGCCUGAAAACCUAAAUUAGCAAUCAUCACAUAUGACGUGGCAGGCUAUUAUUAAGGAGGCCACUUAUUAUAGAAACAUGGAAUUAUCAAUUAAAAAGUAGUCCACACAAGCCCCAAAGGUCCAAUAGGAUUACCUGUGCCAUCUAGGCAGUCAUUUCAAAGGCUAACAUGGAGAAAAGAAUCCUCAGAGAGCAACUUUUCUGUCAAGUCAAAUAAGUAUGAUCCUCUUAGGAGGAAAAUGC
rnacentral:lncRNA from 1 species